rnacentral:lncRNA from 1 species
GUUCAUCUGGCCAUAAUUGUAUAGUCUUCCUGAAAGCAUUUAGCAGCAAUGCUAAUUUAACACAAAUCUCCCCAGGGUAGUAUUUUUGAGCUAGUAGGGUUGCCAAUGUAUUGGUUAACUUAGGACACUUACUUCAGAGCAGGAAUAGCAACAGGAAACUCACAAAAAGAUACAGGACUUUUAUCUUCCUGAUCUCCUGA